CUUCAACAGCAUAAUAAAUAAAUAAAUAUAUAAAACUAGAUUCAACUUUUUAAACCAUUUAGAUAAGAGAUUGAUUCAAAUACUGUCAGAAUAAGAAUAAAUGUGAUUCCAGUUUGUAUAAAUCCAGAUGUAAUGCACCUUAAGCAAUUGAUAUGCCCCCCACCACAAUAUGGACCCAUUCCUAUCAGCCAAAACAUAGAACAUAGUUACAGACACAG
rnacentral:lncRNA from 1 species